UAACGCGUGGGCAACCUGCCUUACACAGGGGGAUAACAAUUAGAAAUGAUUGCUAAUACCGCAUAAGACCCCAGUACCGCAUGGUACAGGGGUAAAAACUGAGGUGGUGUAAGAUGGGCCCGCGUCUGAUUAGGUAGUUGGUGGGGUAGAAGCCUACCAAGCCGACGAUCAGUAGCCGACCUGAGAGGGCGACCGGCCACAUUGGGACUGAGACACGGCCCAAACUCCUACGGGAGGCAGCAGUGGGGAAUAUUGCACAAUGGGGGAAACCCUGAUGCAGCGACGCCGCGUGAGUGAGGAAGUAUUUCGGUAUGUAAAGCUCUAUCAGCAGGGAAGAAAAUGACGGUACCUGACUAAGAAGCCCCGGCUAACUACGUGCCAGCAGCCGCGGUAAUACGUAGGGGGCAAGCGUUAUCCGGAUUUACUGGGUGUAAAGGGAGCGUAGACGGAAUUGCAAGUCUGAUGUGAAAAUCCGGGGCCCAACCCCGGAACUGCAUUGGAAACUGUAUUUCUAGAGUGUCGGAGAGGCAAGUGGAAUUCCUGGUGUAGCGGUGAAAUGCGUAGAUAUCAGGAGGAACACCAGUGGCGAAGGCGGCUUGCUGGACGAUGACUGACGUUGAGGCUCGAAAGCGUGGGGAGCAAACAGGAUUAGAUACCCUGGUAGU
rnacentral:rRNA from 1 species